rnacentral:rRNA from 1 species
AGAGUUUGAUCCUGGCUCAGGAUGAACGCUAGCUACAGGCUUAACACAUGCAAGUCGAGGGGAAACGACAUCGAAAGCUUGCUUUUGAUGGGCGUCGACCGGCGCACGGGUGAGUAACGCGUAUCCAACCUGCCCACCACUUGGGGAUAACCUUGCGAAAGUAAGACUAAUACCCAAUGACGUCUCUAGAAGACAUCUGAAAGAGAUUAAAGAUUUAUCGGUGAUGGAUGGGGAUGCGUCUGAUUAGCUUGUUGGCGGGGUAACGGCCCACCAAGGCGACGAUCAGUAGGGGUUCUGAGAGGAAGGUCCCCCACAUUGGAACUGAGACACGGUCCAAACUCCUACGGGAGGCAGCAGUGAGGAAUAUUGGUCAAUGGACGGAAGUCUGAACCAGCCAAGUAGCGUGCAGGAAGACGGCCCUCUGGGUUGUAAACUGCUUUUAGUUGGGAAUAAAGUGCACCACGUGUGGUGUUUUGUAUGUACCAUCAGAAAAAGGACCGGCUAAUUCCGUGCCAGCAGCCGCGGUAAUACGGAAGGUCCAGGCGUUAUCCGGAUUUAUUGGGUUUAAAGGGAGCGCAGGCGGACCUUUAAGUCAGCUGUGAAAUACGGCGGCUCAACCGUCGAACUGCAGUUGAUACUGGAGGUCUUGAGUGCACACAGGGAUACUGGAAUUCAUGGUGUAGCGGUGAAAUGCUCAGAUAUCAUGAAGAACUCCAAUCGCGAAGGCAGGUAUCCGGGGUGCAACUGACGCUGAGGCUCGAAAGUGCGGGUAUCAAACAGGAUUAGAUACCCUGGUAGUCCGCACAGUAAACGAUGAAUACUCGCGGUUUGCGAUAGACUGUAAGCCGCCAAGCGAAAGCGUUAAGUAUUCCACCUGGGGAGUACGCCGGCAACGGUGAAACUCAAAGGAAUUGACGGGGGCCCG